rnacentral:rRNA from 1 species
GCUUACGGCCACACCGGCCUGAGUACGGGUCCGAUCUCGGAAGCUAAGCAGGGUCGGGCCUGGUUAGUACUUGGAUGGGAGACCGCCUGGGAAUACCAGGUGCUGUAAGCU